rnacentral:lncRNA from 10 species
GUGGGCUGAGAUUGCGCCAUUGCACUCCAGCCUGGGCAACAAGGGCGAAACUCCAUCUCAAAAAAUUUUUUUUUUUACAGAUGGGCUCUCACUAUGUUGCCCAGGCUGGUCUUGAACUCCUGGGCUCAAGAAAUCCCCCAACCUUGGCCUCCCAAAGUGCUGGGAUUACAGGUGUGAGUCAUCAUGCCCAGCCCCAAUCUCAUACUCUUGAAAUCCUAAAGCCAUGUGAAGAAUCCAGGCCUAGCUUGCUGGAUGAUGAGAGACACAGUCCCCCUAAUGCCCCAGGUGACAGUCACUCAAUACCAGACAUAUGAGUGACACCAUCUAGGACUAGCCAGCCUCAACAACCCAACUAGUGACCUCAGCUGCAUGGGCAAGUCCAGCCAAGAUAAGCUGAGCUGGAUCCAGACUAUAAGAAUUACCUGGAAGAACGCAAACUAAUGAAAGAUUGUUGUUUUAAGCCAAUGAGCUUUGGGGUGAUUUGUUAAUUGGCAAUAGAUAACUGAUAUUCAAGGAUUCAUCCAAAGUUCCCUUAAAAGAUAGAACCCAUUAAGUCAUUUUAAACACUUAUAAGCAAGUUAUUAAAUCCUUAAAAGAAACUGAAAGUUUCUAAGGUAUACUGGGUUGGAAAAAGGAAAAGAAAAAGAAACUAAAAGUGAAGGCUGAAACUGACAAGUAAGGAGUUAUUUCUCCCUGCAAAUGUAAUCAGAAAAUAAGGUGGAGUGUCUCUGAAUGCAUAACUGGAACAAGGAAACAAUCUAAUGGUUUUAGUAGUAAAUAUAUGAUUUCAGGGGCACAUCCAGUGGAAUGAUGGAGUCAGUGCACAACAACUUGUAAGACCCAGUCAUGGAAACUGGCAAACAUUACAAGUUAGAACCAGUUGUUAAAUCUUCAUUAGUACAUCACUGGACACAUCUAUUGCUAAAGGCACAUUGGUUGACAAUUAUUCAAGUAAGUGGCAUAAUAGUAAUCCAAUGUACUUUGCAUUAUGAGUGAAGAAGAGACUAAUUUUGACUAGAGGGGAAAGAAGGGAUGGUCAUAGCAAGAUACUUUGUCAAUCAGGAAUGAGGGCUAUCUUUGAACCCACAGUGGCUUGAACUCUAUAGGUGCUUAAUAAAAUUUGCCGAAAAGAUUACAUGCUUAGAGACAACAUUAUAAAGAAAAGACAUUCUUGGCCGGGCGUGGUGGCUCAUGCCUGUAAUCCCAGCACUUCAGGAGGCGAAAGCAGGUGGAUCACCUGAGGUCAGGAGUUUGAGACCAGCCUGACCAACAUGGAGAAACCCCAUCUCUACUAAAUACAAAAAAUUAGCCGGACAUGGUGUUGCAUGCCUAUAGUCCCAGCUACUUGGGAAGCUGAGGCAGGAGAAUCGCUUGAACCCGGGAGGUGGAGGUUGCAGUGAGCUGAGAAUGUGCCACUACACUCCAGCCAAGGCAACAAGAGCAAGACUCUGUCCCAAAAAAAAAAAAAAAAAAAAAAGAGACAUUCUUGCUGAAUUGAAGACUCAGAAGAGGCUGGGCACAGUGGCUCACCCUUGUAAUCCCAGUAUUUUGGGGGGCCAAGGUGGGCAGAUCACCUGAGGUCAGGAGUUCAAGACCAGCCUGGCCAACGUGGUGAAACCCCAUCUCUACUGAAAAUACAAAAAAUCAGCCAGGCAUGCUGGUGCACGCUCAUAAUCCCAGCUACUCGGGAGGCUGAGGCAGGAGAAUUGCUUGAGCCUAUGAGGCGGAGGUUGCAGUGGGCUGAGAUCAUGCCACUGGCCACUGUACUGCACUCCAGCCUGGGUGACAAAAGUGAAACUCCAUCUCAAAAAAAAAAAAAAAAAAAAGACUCAGAAGUAAUCAUAAGGUUCUACUUGCUAUUCUCACAUGUAAUUGUGAGACUCUGCCUCCAUUUCUCCAUCUAAAAACAGGAGCUCAUUUACAAGCAACAUGACAAGAAUUCAAGCAGUCAUGGCUGUGAAGCAUUUCUGCAGAAGGAUAUGCUAUGUAAGUAUGAGGUUGUUACUAAAUCAAAAUGAAUGCCUUUGUGCAAAACUAGAAAGCACAUUACAUAUUGUUCCUGAGUAUUCCUUCCCAGUGCAUUCAAAAUAUUCUCACAUUCACAAGGUUAAACAGCACAUUAAAAAAUAGUAGGAGGCUGAUGGCUGAGCUCAAUUGGGAGUAUCUUUCUUUGGUGUUAGAAUGUUUGAAAAUUAUUUUGGGAAGACUAUGAGCAAGUUAUUUUGAACUUCUGGGGAAAAAAAAAAAUCUGAAGAAGCAUUCCCUUUGCCUAAAAGCAAAGGAGACAUUUAUUUAUGCCUUUAGCAAAUAAAAUAGUUUGCUUACUACCAGUGUUUGUGGGCUGAUAUUCAACUCAUCUUCUGGAAAUUUUAAAAAUACACAUUGAAACUGAAAAAGUAUUCUUUGAGUAAGGGUUUACCUGAAGUGCCCAGAACCAUCCAAAAUGAUGGCACAUUAUAUCUUUUUUUCUUAAAAAUUUUUGGAAUCUAAUUGAAGAUGCCUCUUAGAAUAUGUGGAAACCACACGUGCUAUCUUGCAUAUCACUAUCAUUUCAGUUCUAAUGUUAUUAGGUGUUUAGCUACAGGCAAGUAGAAUUAGGGCAUGAUGUGACAGACUGUAAUGAGUUGCUGAGAAACUACAUACUCUAUCCCCAGGAAAACACAUAUUCUCAAAAUUCUACACAAUUUCAGGAAUUUCAUAGAUGCCCCUACCCCAAAUCCCAUUCAUGAAAUCCUUAGCUUAAAAUCCUGUGCACUAGAGCAAUGUAUUUUAUAAAACCAUAUUCAGAUGCCUGUGAAGCAAUGAAUGUGCUAGGCAAUGUUAGGCGGUAGAAACAGUGAUACACGUAGUCAGACAGGGUACCUAGAAGUCAUGGAGCUUAUAGGCUAGUAGGGGAUAUGGACAUUUACCAAAUAAUCACACAAAAAGAUGCCUAAUUACAAACUCUGAUUAAGUGCUAUGGAGAGAUAUACAGUGUUGCACGUAACAACAGAAUCUAAAGAAGUUACAUUUUAGGGGGCAUAUAAACAAUGUUGUGCAGGGGAGGUAGAAGAAACACAUUAUGGUAAAGGGCUGCAAAGGAAAUAAGCCCAUAAUAAGGCCUCUUAUAGGUUUAAGCUAGGACCUGAAACUUGUAUACUUUAUAUGCUUUGAAAUGAGACAUACAUUAAAGUGGCUGAUCAAAUUAAAACAUUUUCCAGUCUUUGCCUACUAAAUUGAUAAAGAUUUUUUAAAAUUUUAAUAGAACUAAAGAGAAAAUAUUUCUAUAUACUGAUGUUAGGAGUAUGCAGUUUAGGCCAGGCAUGGAGGCUCACACCUAUAAUCCCACCCAGCACUUUGGGAGGCCAAGGUGUGUGGACACUUGAGGUCAGGAGUUCGAGACCAGCCUGACCAACAUGGUGAAACCCUGUCUCUACUAAAAAUGCAAAAUUACCUGAGUAUGGUGGUGCACACUUGUAAUCCCAACUACUUAAGGAGGCUGAGGCAGGAGAAUCACUUGAACCCGGGAGGUGGAGGCUGCAGUGAGCCAAGAUCGCGCCAUUGCAUUCCAGCUUGGGCAGAGCAAACCUCCAUCUCCAAAACCCAAAAAGUAUACAGUUUAAACCACUGACUUUAAAAAUGUACAUAAACAUGGAUGCCGGACAUGGUGAUUCAACGAUUGCACUUACAGAAACAAAUCUAAGAAAACAGUAAUGAUCUUGCCAGCUUCUGAUGAGAUUAUAAGAAAAAAAAAAGAAGAAAUAAAUUUAAAAAAAAAAUAAAAAAAGAAAAUGGUAAUAAUCCACCAGGAUGUUAAUAACAGCAUUAUUCACAAGAUGGAACAGAAACAAUGAUUUUGUCUAACAGCAGGGAGUUAAUUAAAUUAUGACAAGCCAGAUUAUAGAAUAAUAUGCACCCAUUAAAUCAGAGUACUUAAUGAUACGGAAAAAAUUCCUAUUAAGUGAAAAAAGCAUUACAAAACAGCAUAUAUUAUGAGCUCUAUUUUUAUUUUUGAAAUAUAUUUAUGCAGAGAAAUACAAAAUGUUAACAAUAUUAUCUUAAA